GAAUCCACCCCAUCGUCCGUGGGGCUAACCUGUUCCGCUCGCGGCUGGACAGGGUAGGAAGUGCUCCUCUCCAGUCGUAUCCGCGGAUACCUCACCAGUCGGUCCCCUUUUGUUCCAGUAAAACCAAAGUUAUAUUCACCCCCUGUACCUGUACCACUCGCCUGCGGUUGCUGUAGCUGAAGAACAAAGAACUUCUUUCCUGAACUUGCUGACAUAUCUGGCACAUGCUGCAAAGACCAGCGCCGGGGUUCGGGGCUGGGAGCAUUACUCCGAGCCUCAGAACCAAACGGUAACACAGUCACCUGGGGCACAUCUGCACUCGAAGCGCGAUGCUGAAUCCUCACACCACUUAUGUUUAGACCUGAAGACGCUUCGUUCGCCUCAUCCUCUUGGGUAGCAGACAAAGCAUCAUCGCUCUGGUUGUUAGAGGGGAUCGUACAAAAUAUUCUGUGAUUGCAGCAAACGGUCCCAUUGAUCUGCUGCCCCAGCUCUUCUGCCAGCCUGGGUGGAGAGUUUCCAGGAGUCACCUCUGGACUGCUAGGCGGAGGAGAACGGUUUUCAACAGGGGAUGCAUAACGCUCCGGAAACUCUGAGAAUUUACAUGGAAGUGUCUCCUCAGGAGAUCCCGGGGUUCCACACUCAUCAGCACAGCCGUUCACAGCUUUGCGCUGAAGAGAGAUCUGCAUAGACGAGCUUCUCGUUGGACGCACGUCAAUGCUAUUCAGCAGCUGGGGAAUAAACAUGGAUGUACUCCUUUUUAAGGAGCCCACUUCUUGCAAGUCGCCACCACCACCACCAUAAUCUGCUCCGUGUCGGGAAAAAGCAUGAGGACUGCUUCUUCUUGGCAAAGUGUGGAAUGCCAUGAAAAAGUCAUCUUCUCUCUCCCGGUCGAGGAUCUCCGAUUCAGGGGCUGUGUUGCUUCGCCCAGAGCCAAAAUGAAACCGCAGCCGAUGGGCCAUGGUUUUACAGGGAGAAGAAAAGGAGAGGGAGAACAGCAACAAUUCAGGCACUGCCAGAAGUUAAAAACCAAAGGCAUAAACUCCAAGAAAAAGUGUCCCAUCUGCCAAACUGUUAGCACUGCAGCACUGAUAGCGACAGAUAGCAGAAAUAGCCCAAGUGGCAAGCAGCAUUCCAGGCAUGAUUGGCCACAACUUUUACCCUGUCCCUCCGAACGCAAUACAACCUACCCUACGCAGCCCUUUUCAAAAAUGAAAAAUUACAACAAGCAAAGCAACCUUACAUACGGCAAAGAUUUCUCACAGAAUAGAAACAGCAGAAAUGUGCAAGAUAGCAGAAGACAAAGUUUCUUUUUCAGCUUUACCACGGAGCGAAGACGAGUGAAAACCAGAGACGGGUGUUGCAUGUUGUUUUGUACUGAUUUGUCUUAAACACCGUAGAGAAACUCUGCCCAAAGCUGGCCGGCAUCCAGUGAGAAAGUUUGCAAUAUUACCGCAGGCGCAAUUGCCAGCACGGAGUACAGUUACGCUCACUGAGAGCCAAAAGAUCUCAGAAGAACAGACGGACAGACAGGAUACACCAAAAUGUAAAACAAACACCCUAAAUCAACUCUAUUACAAUGCAGAAAGUGCACGGUCUACAGGUACUCAGAUUUGAAGUGUGUGCUCACCAUAAAAUACUUGUUAGUAUAUACCAAAAAAGAAUAUCUGUUUAGCAAAAAAAUGCACCUACGAAAAGAGACGGAGGAGCUUCAAUUUAAUAAAUGGACUGCUGCUCUUCUGGGAGCUCAGAACCACAAGUUUUGUCAGCAGCUCCAAAAACUUGUGGGUAGAGGGUCAAUAUCUACCUAGACAUUCAAACUUCUGCUUGCAAGCAGCUUGUUUUCAAAAGACACAAAAUGACCAAUCACGAGAGAAGUGGAAGCUGGUUUAAAAUGAUGCAACUGCCAAGAGACAGUACAAUUCCCUAUUGUUUUAGGUGGACUUUAAGCCAACAAGAAAAACACGAAUAGCUUCUACACAGCAACAGUACUCUAGAUUGCCUUGCACAAGCACAGGUGUUUACAUUAUUUUAUCUAAUUUUCCAAAUAAAAUGUGUUAUCCAAGGAAA